GCUGGGAUAGCUCAGCUAGUAGAGCAAAAGACCCUUAAUCUCAGAGUCAUGGGUUGGAGCCCCACUCUGGGCA